AAGCGAAGCCGCGAGGUGGAGCAAACCCCAGAAAUAACGUCCCAGUUCGGACUGCAGCCUGCAACUCGGCUGCACGAAGCCGGAAUCGCUAGUAAUCGCAGAUCAGCAUGCUGCGGUGAAUACGUUCCCGGGUCUUGUACACACCGCCCGUCACACCAUGGGAGCCGGGAAUGCCCGAAGUCAGCGGCCCAACCGAAAGGAGGGAGCUGCCGAAGGCAGGUCCGGUAACUGGGGUGAAGUCGUAACAAGGUACC
rnacentral:rRNA from 1 species